GAAGUAGGACAAGAGAAAGAGAUGAUCGAAAUAUGUUCAAUCUUAACCGUCCCUCUCUCUUCCACCCUUUCUCUUUCUUCCCUUUCUCUUUCUUCCAUUUCUCUUUCUUCUAG
rnacentral:ribozyme from 1 species